AAGGUCACUGGCAUCAACUCUGCACUGAGAAUAACUUCUGUCAUCACAACAAAAAGAUGACUAAUUGCAGAAUCAGCAGACGUAGAGAAACCGUAAAGACAUCAAACCGCUUUGCAAGGAGCACCAGCAUUUGGUUAUAGUCAUAGAGGCAAUUUUUGAAGAAUAGCCUGUGUCCAAGAAUUACAAAUUGUGGUCAGAAUAAUAUGC